GAACGCAUAUUGCGCUCUUUGGUAUUCCGAAGAGCAUGCUUGUUUGAGUAUCAGUAAACACCUCAAAGCCUUUUUUCUUUUUUGAAGAAAGGCUUUGGACUUGAGCAAUCCCAACACCAAUCUUUUAAAGAGAGGGGGCGGGUUGCUUGAAAUGCAGGUGCAGCUGGACAUUCUCCUGAGCUAAAAGCAUAUUCAUUUAGUCCCGUCAAACGGAUUAUUACUUUUGCUGCAGCUAAUAUAAAGGGAGUUUGACCAUUUUGGCUGACUGAUGCAGGAUUUUCACAAGAGUCUUCAAAACCUCUUGUUAAACUCGAUCUCAAAUCAAGUAAGACUACCCGCUGAACUUAAG
rnacentral:misc_RNA from 1 species